ACUCAAAGGAAUUGACGGGGGCUCGCACAAGUGGUGGAGCAUGCGGUUUAAUUCGAUGCUACGCGAAAAACCUUACCAACCCUUGACAUGGUGGUCGCGGGGACCAGAGAUGGACCCCUUCAGUUCGGCUGGACCACACACAGGUGUUGCAUGGCUGUCGUCAGCUCGUGUCGUGAGAUGUUGGGUUAAGUCCCGCAACGAGCGAAACCCUCAUCCUUAUUUGCCAGCGGUUCGGCCGGGAACUAUAAGGAAACUGCCGGUGAUAAACCGGAGGAAGGUGGGGACGAUGUCAAGUCAUCAUGGCCCUUACGGGUUGGGCUACACGCGUGCUACAAUGGUGCUUACAGAGGGAUGCAAUACGGCGACGUGGAGCAAAUCCUCAAAAGGCAUCUCAGUUCGGAUUGUUCUCUGCAACUCGAGAGCAUGAAGUCGGAAUCACUAGUAAUCGCGGAUCAGCAUGCCGCGGUGAAUACGUUCUCGGGCCUUGCACACACCGCCCGU
rnacentral:rRNA from 1 species